GAUGAACGCUGGCGGCAUGCCUAACACAUGCAAGUCGAUCGGUAAGGCUCUUCGGAGUACACGAGAGGCGGACGGCUGAGUAACGCGUAGGAACACACCCUGCAGUGAGGGAUAAGACACCGAAAGGUGUUCUAAUACCGCAUACGGUCUUCGGAUUAAAGCAUUUAUGCGCUGAAGGAGUGGCCUGCGUCAUAUUAGAUAGUUGGUGAGGUAAUGGCUCACCAAGUCGAUGAUGUGUAGCUGGUCUGAGAGGAUGAUCAGCCAGACUGGAACUGAGACACGGUCCAGACUCCUACGGGAGGCAGCAGUGAGGAAUAUUUCACAAUGAGCGAAAGCUUGAUGGAGCAAUGCCGCGUGCAGGAUGAAGGCCCUCGGGUUGUAAACUGCUUUUAUAAGAGAAGAUUAUGACGGUAACUUAUGAAUAAGGGACGGCUAACUGCGUG
rnacentral:rRNA from 1 species